CAGUAGCCGCGGUAAUACGAGGGGGGCAAGCGUUGUUCGGAAUUAUUGGGCGUAAAGGGCGCGUAGGCGGUUUGACAAGUCCUGUGUGAAAUCUCUGGGCUCAACCCAGAGUCUGCACGGGAAACUGUCGGGCUAGAGGAUGGGAGAGGUGAGUGGAAUUUCCGGUGUAGCGGAGAAAUGCGUAGAUAUCGGAAGGAACACCUGUGGCGAAAGCGGCUCACUGGACCAUUACUGACGCUGAGGCGCGAAAGCUAGGGGAGCAAACAGGAUUAGAUACCCCUGUAGUCCCUGUCUCUUAUAC
rnacentral:rRNA from 1 species